AUGCCAUAGUGAGGACACUUCUGUAAUAAAUCCUUGACCCGCUCCCAUGCCUCUUAUAAAGAUUCUUCGUCAAGGUGCUGAAGUGAAGUGAUUUUAUUUAGGAACUU
rfam:Gossypium raimondii Chr02_contig_1002, whole genome shotgun sequence.